GUGCUCACUACAGCAGCACAUAUACUAAAACUGGAAGAAUGCAGAGAAAAUGAGUAUGGCCCCUAUGCAAGGAUGACAGGUAGAUUUGUGAAGGAUUACAUAUUUAA
ensembl:snRNA U6 U6 spliceosomal RNA